GAUGAACGCUGGCGGCGUGCCUAAUACAUGCAAGUCGAGCGAACAGACGAGGAGCUUGCUCCUCUGACGUUAGCGGCGGACGGGUGAGUAACACGUGGAUAACCUACCUAUAAGACUGGGAUAACUUCGGGAAACCGGAGCUAAUACCGGAUAAUAUAUUGAACCGCAUGGUUCAAUAGUGAAAGACGGUUUUGCUGACACUUAUAGAUGGUACCGCGCCGGUUUAGCUAGUUGGUAAGGUAACGGCUUACCAAGGCUACGAUGCGUAGCCGACCUGAGAGGAUGACCGGUCACACAGGAACGGAGACAAGCUCCAGACUCCUAGGGGAGGCAGCAGUGGGGAAUAUUGGACAAUGGGCGAAAGCCUGAGACAGCCACGCCGCGUAUGUGAAGAAGGUUUUCGGAUCUUAAAGCUCUUUUAGUGGGGAGGAACAGUAGUAAAAGAAUAUCUACCUGUCUUGACGUCACCAACAAAAAAAGCGACGGCUAACCCCGUG
rnacentral:rRNA from 1 species